rnacentral:lncRNA from 1 species
GAGAGGCCAACAGACGAGCUGCUGGUGGUUCUGAUGGACAGGUGUCAGAACAAAGUUGUCGUUCUCUGAUGGUUCUUAAUUCCCAAAUCUUAACCAUCAUCAUGGUCAAAACCAGGUUGUGUGAGUCUAGAUAUACAGAUAUAGAAGAGCACUACAGGUUGGUCGUUGUGUAUUUCUACCAUAGUGCUGCUGGCGCACAAACAGCGUUUCCCGCGGAGUCCUUUUGGCCCGACACAUUCGUUCCUGCCUCCCCGGUCGUGGCGCGGCUAAUUUAUGCCCGCGUUGCGCCUCAAUCUUGCCGCUCUGAGUCGCGGACGCCGCAGCGCUUGACGUGUGGUACAGGGGAUCGUAAAAGUGUCAGCGCUGUGACAACACCAUUAGCGCAGCGCGGCGUGGAAAGUGUCGUGGGGCACUCGGAACCACAACACAACAUUGAGGCCUUCGGACAAAGAUCCUCCCAGGAACAGAAUAUAAAGUCUCCUGAACCUGAACCAGGGGACUUGGCUGCAGCAAGGACACACAGCCCUGCACUGCCUCCACAUGAAACCUGGAUUGAGCAUGAAGUCAGAAUCAACUGUCACUGCAACGUCCUGUUUUUGGUCUAAUGCAGCUUUUUAAUCUGCAGACGACCCAAUGGAUUACUUAAAAAGUCGCUCUGAGCAUUGUGUGCUGAAAUCGAUGUCCAACUCUUGGUGGUGGGAACUCAAAACAUGGACCUGCAGCGCCUUUACCACCAGGAUGUGCUCAAAUCAGAAAAAAAAACAGGCUUGACAGUGCGCCGAGCGCGAGGGGACGCGGGGUGUAAUUAGAACGGAGAGGCCGCCGCUGCGUGACGCACAGAGCGGCGCGGGGAUGUGUCAGAGAGCCGUAAUCGGCGCGUUGCUGCGAGGAGCACGUUCCCGCACGGCCGCGGCCGCGGACGGCGCGGAUUAGAGGCCGAGGAGCGCGACGCGGCGCCCCGACGGGAGAGCGGCGCGUGCGUCCGCACACCGAGCAGCUGGUCCCGGAGCACCGGCUCCGAGGAUGCUCUUCAAUCACAGCUCGACCCGUGGCCGCUGCCGCCGCCGCUAAUGUCGCAGUGUGGCUGUUAACAGGGAGCGAUGGCGCCUCGCAGAGACACACGUGGACGUUGAGACGCAGUGUUAUUAUGUGCUGGUUCCGAUCAGAUGACUUCAUUGCUGGAUUGAUUUUCUUCUUGAUGCUGCGUUUCACGAAGCCGUGGAGUUUUCACUGAGUUGACUGCCGCCGAUGAUGCUGCUUAGCGCUGAUGAUGUGAUAAGGGAAAACUGUAACAAAGAGGAUUAUGAAGACUGGCCUCUGAGAGUUGAAGGAUUCAAUUUAUCACAUGGAGACGUCCUGAUAGCUAGCAGUGAUUAAUCAGAUUAUUAUUAAAGCUCCCUGUAAAUUUCUGUUGCUAAAAGCAAAGAAAAAUCCAUGUUUCAUGCAUCGCACACAGAUUACAUUCCAAAUUUUACAUUUUUUCCAUUAACUUAAUGCUCUUAAAAUAUUCACUCAGUCUUGAACUAUUCAAUCUGACACCAUGUAGAAGCCAGGCCUAUUUGCAUGCAAGUGCAAGUCCGCAGCAUGAGUUAGCCAGUGUACACCCAGCUGUGCUGGGAAAUCUCUAACGCAGUCAGCAAUCCAUCAGCAGACCUCUGAUCUGCUCAUUUCAGAUAAAAGGAGUCAGAGCGGCUCUCCAGGGCUUUAGGGAGCGCUCACACUUCCCACCUCGCAGCUCUCCAACGUGCAACUUGUGCAUUUCUGAGUAGAAAAAAACUGCAGGGAAAGGAACAAAUGUUAUUAGAGUAAAAGUUAAUGAGCACAACUUUGAGCUUUGUGAAUGACGCACACCUUGAAUGUGAAAACAGCUGAUUGCUAAAAAACAGUGCUUCAGCAUUUUUUAAUGAAAUCACACUCAAAUGGAACACACAUCUCAAAAAGGAAAGCAGUUUAUAGAAACUGAAUCCAACCAAAGGAUUUUCAAUUAAUAAAUUCUGUAUGAUUAUUAUGGGAUUAAACA